GAACGCUGGCGGCGUGCCUAACACAUGCAAGUCGAGCGGAGACAGUGAGUAGCUUGCUACGAGCUGUUUUAGCGGCGGACGGGUGAGUAACGCGUGAGCAACCUUUCCCAGACAGGGGAAUAACACACCGAAAGGUGUACUAAUACCGCAUAAGACCACGGGAUCACAUGGUUCUGAGGUAAAAGAUUUAUCGGUUUGGGGUGGGCUCGCGUCCGAUUAGGUAGUUGGUGAGGUAACGGCCCACCAAGCCGACGAUCGGUAGCCGACCUGAGAGGGUGAUCGGCCACAUUGGGACUGAGACACGGCCCAAACUCCUACGGGAGGCAGCAGUGGGGAAUAUUGGGCAAUGGGGGGAACCCUGACCCAGCAACGCCGCGUGGAGGAAGAAGGUUUUCGGAUCGUAAACUCCUGUCCUUGGAGACGAGUAGAAGACGGUAUCCAAGGAGGAAGCCCCGGCUAACUACGUGCCAGCAGCCGCGGUAAUACGUAGGGGGCAAGCGUUGUCCGGAAUAAUUGGGCGUAAAGGGCGCGUAGGCGGCUCGGUAAGUCUGGAGUGAAAGUCCUGCUUUUAAGGUGGGAAUUGCUUUGGAUACUGUCGGGCUUGAGUGCAGGAGAGGUUAGUGGAAUUCCCAGUGUAGCGGUGAAAUGCGUAGAGAUUGGGAGGAACACCAGUGGCGAAGGCGACUAACUGGACUGUAACUGACGCUGAGGCGCGAAAGUGUGGGGAGCAAACAGGAUUAGAUACCCUGGUAGUCCACACUGUAAACGAUGAAUGCUAGGUGUAGGGGGUAUCGACCCCUUCUGUGCCGCAGUUAACACAAUAAGCAUUCCGCCUGGGGAGUACGGCCGCAAGGUUGCAACUCAAAUGAAUUGACGG
rnacentral:rRNA from 1 species